rnacentral:rRNA from 1 species
GACGAGCGCUGGCGGCGUGCUUAACACAUGCAAGUCGAACGGAAAGGCCCUGCUUUUGUGGGGUGCUCGAGUGGCGAACGGGUGAGUAACACGUGAGUAACCUGCCCUUGACUUUGGGAUAACUUCAGGAAACUGGGGCUAAUACCGGAUAGGAGCUCCUGCUGCAUGGUGGGGGUUGGAAAGUUUCGGCGGUUGGGGAUGGACUCGCGGCUUAUCAGCUUGUUGGUGGGGUAGUGGCUUACCAAGGCUUUGACGGGUAGCCGGCCUGAGAGGGUGACCGGCCACAUUGGUACUGAGAUACGGCCCAGACUCCUACGGGAGGCAGCAGUGGGGAAUAUUGCACAAUGGGCGGAAGCCGGAUGCAGCAACGCCGCGUGCGGGAUGACGGCCUUCGGGUUGUAAACCGCUUUCGCCUGUGACGAAGCGGGAGUGACGGUAAUGGGUAAAGAAGCACCGGCUAACUACGUG